rnacentral:rRNA from 1 species
UACGAAGGGGGGCUAGCGUUGCUCGGAAUCACUGGGCGUAAAGGGUGCGUAGGCGGGUCUUUAAGUCAGGGGUGAAAUCCUGGAGCUCAACUCCAGAACUGCCUUUGAUACUGAAGAUCUUGAGUUCGGGGAGAGGUGAGUGGAACUGCGAGUGUAGAGGUGAAAUUCGUAGAUAUUCGCAAGAACACCAGUGGCGAAGGCGGCUCUCUGGGACGGUACUGACGCUGAGACGCGAAAGCGUGGGGAGCGAACAGG